GAAGACACACAUUAUUGUUCAAUCACUGUUGAGACCAUUCAGAGCUCCUGAAACACACAAGAAAAUGAUGUCCUUGUUUCUCCUGGUUGGGACGCUUCUCAUCAUCUUUGCCCAGGUCUCCAGUGGGCAGAUCACUAUGACUCAGACUCCUUCAGCGCUCUCUGCUCUCCCAGGAGAAAGAGUCACUAUCAACUGCAAAGCCAGCAGCUCUGUUAGCAGUAGUAGUACAAGCUACCUAGCCUGGUACCUGCAGACACCUGGAGAAGCUCCUAAACUCCUGAUCUAUAGUGCAAGCACUCUUCAAUCUGGGAUCCCAGCUCGAUUCAGUGGCAGUGGAUCUGGGACUGACUUCACUCUGACCAUCAGCGGUGUCCAGGCUGAAGAUGCAGGAGAUUACUACUGUCAGCAGGGUAGAAGCACCCCUCUCACACAGUGAUACAUGUCCGUACAAAAACCUCCCUCAGCUCUACAGGAACUGCUCUGGUUCAUAAACAGAACCCACAGGGGGCUGAGGCGGAUACCAGCUGCAGAGCUGCAGGCUUGUCAAACCGGUAUGCUUUUGAUUUUAUUAUAAUAGGAGUGAGUACUGAACCUGACACUGAAACACAUAGUGGUGAUUACCCUGUUGCCAGGCUUGAUCCUACCAUGGUUUUUGAGAUUUUACCAAGGCUUUUGACACAGUGGACUGCUGGUGCUGGAGUUGGUUAUUCAUCCUCUUCUCAAUGCUUUGGGUCACACUCACAUGGUAGAACCCAGUCUGUAACUUUGUCACUGGUCAUAUCAAAUGCACUGCCCAUAAACCUUAGUGUCCCACUGGCUUCUAUUGUGGGUCCUCUUGUAUUCUCAUGUUUUGGGGGCUUUUAAAACAUGCUGUCAAGCUAUUUCUGAUUCGUCUUGGCUUAUUUGACACAUUUCACUAAUUAUUAUAUGUAAAUAUAAUCAUAUUCCCCAGUAUCUUUUAUGCAACAAUAUGUUCAAAAACUUUUUUAAAUUUAAAAUUUUGUUGUAACAUGUUUUUUAAACUUGUAUUUUAAAAAUAAGAAAAAUAAUGAAUAACUGAUCUUUAUUAACAGUAUUUUCUAUAUCGUAGCAGAUAAUGUUCUAGAGUUUGAAGAGGUGUAAAUGUAUCACAAUU